rnacentral:rRNA from 1 species
AUUGAACGCUGGCGGCAGGCCUAACACAUGCAAGUCGAGCGAGCGGCGGACGGGUGAGUAAUGUCUGGGGAACUGCCCGAUAGAGGGGGAUAACUACUGGAAACGGUGGCUAAUACCGCAUACUAUCGGAUGAACCCAUAUGGGAUUAGCUAGUAGGUGGGGUAAAGGCUCACCUAGGCGACGAUCCCUAGCUGGUCUGAGAGGAUGAUCAGCCAAACGGGGACUGAGAAACGGCCCAGACUCCUUAGGGAGGCAGGAGUGGGGAAUAUUGGACAAUGGGCGCAAGCCUGAUGGAGCCAUGCCGGGGGUAUGAAGAAGGCCUUAGGGUUUGAAAGGACUUUCAGCGGGGAGGAGUUACCCGCAGAAGAAGCACCGGCUAACUCCGUGCCAGCAGCCGCGGGAAUUC